GUAUAGGGCAGUCCAGUGAAUUCUUGGUAAUGAGCUUUUAGCACAAAGGACUUUGCAUGGGAAGACCCUGAGCUGCUGGAGUUUGAUUAGAGAGUUUUGCUGCCAUUCUUCGGGCCUUUGGCAAAGCUGUUUUCUGGUUAUCAGUAUUUACAUAGGUCUGUUCUACAACCUGGAGAAGACUCUCCCUCUCAGGUCCCCCUUGUCUUCUACAGCAGGCUGCAUCCCUCGUCCUCAGGCACUAGGUGCUGUC
rnacentral:lncRNA from 1 species